rnacentral:rRNA from 1 species
UUAUUGGAGAGUUUGAUCCUGGCUCAGGAUGAACGCUGGCGGCGUGCCUAAUACAUGCAAGUCGAGCGAAUGGAUUAAGAGCUUGCUCU